GGCAGCGACAACAAAGAUUCUUCGGAUGAUUUGUUGGGCGGCGAGCGGCGGACGGGUGAGUAAUGUCUGGGAACCUGCCCUGACGUGGGGGAUAACAGUUGGAAACGACUGCUAAUACCGCAUGAUGUCUUCGGACCAAAGAGGAGGACCUUCGGGCUUCUCGCGUCGGGAUGGGCCCAGUUGGGAUUAGCUAGUUGGUGAGGUAAUGGCUCACCAAGGCGACGAUCCCUAGCUGGUUUGAGAGGAUGAUCAGCCACACUGGAACUGAGACACGGUCCAGACUCCUACGGGAGGCAGCAGUGGGGAAUAUUGCACAAUGGGCGCAAGCCUGAUGCAGCCAUGCCGCGUGUGUGAAGAAGGCCUUCGGGUUGUAAAGCACUUUCAGCAGUGAGGAAGGGUAAUGAGUUAAUACCUCAUUAUCUUGACGUUAGCUGCAGAAGAAGCACCGGCUAACUCCGUGCCAGCAGCCGCGGUAAUACGGAGGGUGCGAGCGUUAAUCGGAAUUACUGGGCGUAAAGCGCAUGCAGGCGGUUUGUUAAGCAAGAUGUGAAAGCCCCGGGCUCAACCUGGGAACCGCAUUGGAACUGGCAGGCUAGAGU
rnacentral:rRNA from 1 species